GGUCCCAUAGUAUAUCGGUUUAGUACACCGCCCUGUCACGGCGGAGAGACGGGUUCGAUUCCCGUUGGGACCG
rnacentral:tRNA from 1 species